rnacentral:rRNA from 1 species
UACAGAGGUUCCAAGCGUUGCUCGGAUUCAUUGGGCGUAAAGGGUGCUCAGGUGGGUUUGUAAGUCAGAGGUGAAAUCCCAAAGCUUAACUUUGGAGCUGCCUUUGAUACUGCAAUCCUUGAGUUUGAGAGAGGGCAAUGGAAUAUCUGGUGUAGCAGUGAAAUGCGUAGAUAUCAGAUAGAACACCAAUGGCGAAGGCAGUUGCCUGGCUCAAUACUGACGCUAAAGCACGAAAGUGUGGGGAGCAAACAGG